GCCUGAAUGGCCAAGUGGUAAGGCACUGCACUUGUACGACUGAGGUCCGGAUGGAACCUCACGACUGGGGUAUGCAGCGAUCGUUCGUUCGAACCGGACUUUAGGCA